rnacentral:rRNA from 1 species
GAUGAACGCUGGCGGCGUGCUUAACACAUGCAAGUCGAACGAUGAAGCCCAGCUUGCUGGGUGGAUUAGUGGCGAACGGGUGAGUAACACGUGAGUAACCUGCCCUUGACUCUGGGAUAAGCCUGGGAAACUGGGUCUAAUACUGGAUAUGACUUCUCAUCGCAUGGUGGGGGGUGGAAAGAUUUAUUGGUCUUGGAUGGACUCGCGGCCUAUCAGCUUGUUGGUGAGGUAAUGGCUCACCAAGGCGACGACGGGUAGCCGGCCUGAGAGGGUGACCGGCCACACUGGGACUGCGACACGGCGCAGACUCCUACGGGCGGCAGCAGUGGGGAAUAUUGCACAAUGGGCGCAAGCCUGAUGCAGCGACGCCGCGUGAGGGAUGACGGCCUUCGGGUGGUAAACCUCUUUCAGUAGGGAAGAAGCGAGAGUGACGGUACCUGCAGAAGAAGCGCCGGCUAACUACGUG